CUCCCCUUCCCUCCCCUCCCCUUUCUUUUCCCUUCCUUUUUUUUCCCCCUUUCUACUUUUCUUUUUCAGACAUAGAAGCAAAAGAGCCUCAGAGUUUGGGCCCUGCAGGCAAAGUCAUCCUUUCCUAGGACAUUGGCUUAGUUUCUUCUUUGAUGCUUAGAUGAAAACACCCCCAACAAAAGCACCUUGAGGCUCGCAGUUCUGGGUUAUGUUUCAUCACAAGUGAAGCCCUGACAGUGAGAGCUUAAGUCACUACCUCUGUACUCAGGAAGCAGCUAAUCUCCAGUCCUGUGUUGUCUGGCACUGCAGCCCAGAGUAGUGCCUCUCUCCUUUAGAGCAGAUCUUCCCACCUUGACUAACCUAAUUCAGACAAUCUCUCACAGGUGCGCCCAGAUCUAAACACUCUCAUCCCUCACAAAUGUGCCUGAAGACUUGACUCCCAGGUGAUUCCAAAUUCCAUCACAUUGAUAAAAAUACUAUCACAGCCUUAAGAGAACAUUAAUGUGUCACCAUCAUUUCUGUACAGGUGAACGUCGAGGAAGUCCAAAGUCAGGCCUUUUUCCACACGGAGUCCACUUCAGUGGCGAAACUUACUGAGGAAUGUCUCACUGAAUCCACAUCUAAGCUUUGGUAGGACUUUAAGAACAUUUCCUGGGAGGAACAUGCUUCAAGAUGGGGACUUGGUCCUGGAAACAGAUGUGGAUGGCAGGUGUGAGCACGGUGCCAAUGGGGUCAGAUGCAUCCGUGGGUUUCUGGAGCCGUGAUGCUGGAGCUAAGAUGUCUGGAGCCAUGAUGUUGGAGCUAAGAUGUCUGGAGCCGUGACGCUGGAGCUAAGAUGUCUGGAGCCAUGAUGCUGGAGCUAAGAUGAGGUCUGGAAGGCAGAGGCUGACUUUUCCUUGGCAGCUUAAUCUUUGCUUUUCACCUUCAAACGGUUCUAUUCUGCGUCUAAAUGCUCACACCAAGAAUCUGUCCUGAAUUUGGGGGGACCCUAGAAAUGGACUCAACCCCUGCUCAGAUGAUAAAUAUCCCUUCUUAGUUCUGCUUUAUUUCAGGUUACAGAUCGUAGAGUUAGGGUGAAGGAAUUUUUUUAAAAAAAAGCAGAAUACUUAUUCCAGCAUUAACGAUUAUUAUUGUAGGAUCUUGCACCAUAUCUUUUUCCUGGUGAAUUAUUAAUGAGGCCUGUUUUUGUUUAAUGCCUGAUAAUAAUUUCUAAAAACAGAUCU
rnacentral:lncRNA from 1 species